GAUUAACGCUGGCGGCGUGCCUAACACAUGCAAGUCGAACGAUGAAACUUAAAUGAUUUCUUCGGAAUGAACUUAAGUGGAUUAGUGGCGGACGGGUGAGUAACGCGUGAGUAACCUGCCUUACACAAGGGGAUAGCCGUUGGAAACGACGAAUAAUACCCUAUGAAACUAUCACUUCGCAUGAAGCGAUAGUCAAAGUGUUAGCGGUGUAAGAUGGACUUGCGUCUGAUUAGCUAGUUGGUGAGAAAAAAGCCCACCAAGGCAACGAUCAGUAGCCGGCUUGAGAGAGUGUACGGCCACAUUGGGACUGAGGCACGGCCCAGACUCCUACGGGAGGCAGCAGUGGGGAAUUUUGCACAAUGGGGGAAACCCUGAUGCAGCGACGCCGCGUGAUUUAGAAGGCCUUCGGGUUGUAAAAAUCUUUUGUAUAGGAAGAAAAUGACAGUACUAUACGAAUAAGGUCCGGCUAAUUACGUG
rnacentral:rRNA from 1 species